CACCAAUGGCAUUCUAAGCCUUCUCUGUGCAUUUCAACUGGCAUCAUUGAUUUAUUAUGCUGUCUUUCUUCUUUAUCUCUGUUCUUUUUUCUUACCCUGACAUCUCGGUACUUCCAGGUUCCUCAUUUACUUCAGGUUGUCAAACGGAGGAGAAUAAAGAAAGCUCUCAGUCGUAAGAAUAUCUUUUAUCGGGACAGCUACAUGUGCCAGUAAGUGCUUUGCCACCUUUUUGAUGCCUGCAGUGGUGCUACUUAGUUCUGGUUGAAAACUGAUAUUAGAACUGUUCUACUUCUCCAAAGGAAUGAUCAACUGUUUUAUUCUCUGAAGCUAAAAUGUACCUGUAAUUACUGUUUUGUGUUUGACAACAGCAAGCACGAUGAAGUGAAUAAGCAAAAAUGAACUCUUAUAUCUCCACACAGAGUUCCCUUUUGGCCCCUCAACGGCCCUUUUCCCAUCCGUAUUGAGCUCAAAAAACAUGCGGAGUAUACUUUUGAAAUCACAUCUAUUGAGUCCUACUCAUGCACACCAAAAAAAGUAAGGAGAUGUCAUUUUUCCGAUCACUUUAAUUGAGGCAAAGAUGAUUAAUGGUUCUCAUUCUUUUGCUCACAAGGACCACCAAGACUUAAAAUUUUCCUCCUUUUGAUUGGAUUCUUAGCUUUCGGAUUAGCAUAAAUCACAGAUUCCAUAGUCAGAAAGCAGUUCUCUUGGUGGCUUCUAGGAGAAAUUUUGAGAUAUAGAGUGGCAUUUCGGGGGAAAGAAAUGCACAUCCGGGUUGCUUUCUCCACUACUAAAUGCUGCAAGGCCAUAAUAGAUGCUCAUUACGUGUUGCGAAUUCCUGCUACUCUACCAGAAACUUUGAAUGUACAUCCUCUGUUAUCUCAAACAACCAAGGAAACAUCUAUUAUGGAUGACUUUUGCCACUAAAAGCCAAGCCAAAUCAACUUUGAAGCCUAUUACAAAUUCAUCAACAAAGUUAUCAUGUUUUACAUUCACAAAGGUCUCCACCAUUAAGCACAAGUAACCGCCUCAUCAAACCUUAUUUCUCUUGUCCUUGUUUUAUCGUUUAUUCUCAGCAAUUUUUCUCCUUAGCUGCCCUUAUAUUGGAAAUCCGAGUAAGGUCUUGGUUUUGCUACUAUAAAUGGGACAGAUUUUAUGAAAGCUAAACAGAGACAGGAUGUGUCUUGAGCUCUCUUAGCUUUUCCUGUAAUCGUGACUUGGGAGAUCAUGAUUUAUAAUCCAUGUCCUAAUACCUUUUCCUAUAUUAACAGAUAUUGUUCUUCGGAUGAGAACUUGACUAUUGAUCAUGUUCUGCCGAUUGCCCGUGGUGGAGAAUGGACCUGGGAGAAUCUGGUAAGAUUGCGUAUAAUGUUGUCUAACUCCCGCUAUCACUUAAUUAUUUUUCUAUGCAGAUUAUAGUGUUUGUGCUAAUUCGGCUUCAAAAGAUUGCCCUUUUGUCCUUAUAAAAGGCCAUGACUGGUUAAGCAUAAAUUUUAGUUGGUCAAAAUAUUAAUGUACUCGGUCUAAUUCGUCACUUGAUUUCUGCUUAUUUUGAAUAGGAGCAAAGGAUGUGUAAAAAAGCUAUGUAUAAUAUGCCGAUAUAGAUCAUGCGCAGAUAUAAAGGACAAAUGGAUUUAGUAGGUAAAAUGUGGAUAACAUACUAGAAUUGUCUCAACUAGUCCGAAGAUGUUGGAAUUCCUUGGGAACAGGACUGACUAGAAUGAACCAAGUCUCAAAAGAUGGAUGGUGCUAGUCUAACGACUAUUAUUGCGUGAGCACCAGUUUAUGUGUAAUUUGGUUUUGCAACUUGAACUAUCUUGUAAUAUCUCAAAGCUUAGUGAAAGUAUUGCAAUAGAUGAGCUUAAUAAAUAUCAUCUGCUUUGUCAAAAAGAAAAUUUCAAGAUUUAAUUAAUGUUGUAAGUUAGAUUUAGUUUGCAAAACAACAUUUCAUUAUAUCUGAAGUGGCAACUCUUGAUUGAGGCUUCCCUUUUUCCUCAGUUCUCACUUCAGAUAGUGUGUACCCCCUCCCCCCCGCUACAUGUGCCAGUAAGUGCUUUGCCACCUUUUUGAUGCCUGCAGUGGUGCUACUUAGUUCUGGUUGAAAACUGAUAUUAGAACUGUUCUACUUCUCCAAAGGAAUGAUCAACUGUUUUAUUCUCUGAAGCUAAAAUGUACCUGUAAUUACUGUUUUCUUAUUAUAGUAGCUUCAUAGCUCCAGAACUGUGGUAAAGCUUCUUAAUUGAAAACAGUUUUAUUUAUGUUACCGUUUUCCUUGAUUUUUUUCCUGUUUUAUUUUACUUGUUUCUUGUUCUCCUUUUAUGUUUCUUCUCUGAGCUGGUUUGGGGUUGUGAAGUAUCAUAACCACAACAACAACUACCCAGUAUAGUCUUACAAAGUGGGGGUCUGGGGAGGGUAAUAUGUAGACGAGCUUUACCUCUACCCGAAAGGGCAGAGGCUGUUUCCAAUCGACCCUCGGCUCAGUGAAGGAAAGGAAAAACAAAAACAAAAACAAAAACAAAUGGCAGUACUCUUGUUUUACCAGAUAAAAGGCUGCUUAAUUGUGAUCUUGCAGGCCCCUAAAGAGUAUGAAAUUCUUGCUAUACCUUUGACCAGCUCGGCUAUAAAAAUGUUAAGAUCGAAAAAGGGGACACCGGAGGAGUGGCGGCAGUAUUUAUCAAUGCCGUCAGCAGCCCCUUAGUAUCAACGUAAGGAUGCAGCUUGUAAAUUCUCUUCCUUGUGCAGAAAUGACAGCAUUCGGAAAUUCAAUCUGAAAUACCAAGACUCAGUUGUAAUUCUAUGUACCUGUAAAUGUUUCUCUUCACCCCUAUGUGGUUGUAUAUAUGAUAAAUGCUCAAAGGCUCUAGUAAACCAUUGGAGUUUCUAGUAAUUGGUAGUAUGCAUAGGUGAUCUUACUCACUAUUAUCCUCCAUUGAAGCAAUGACAAAUAAAAGGAGAUCUCGAUUUGAUCCUUCAUAGUUGCAAAAUAUAGUUGAAGGUGCAUGUUGGUUUUUUACAAGAUGGGCAACAAAAAGAUUAAAAGUGUUGAUUGAAGAAGUCUCUCAAUAAUUUUAUUAAGCAUAACAAGG
rnacentral:lncRNA from 1 species